rnacentral:tmRNA from 1 species
GGGGAUAUAAUGGUUUCGACAUAUAUAGAGUGUAUAGUGUUGCAGUAGUGUGAAAGACUAUAAAUUUCACUAGAAACUCUUAAACGGAAACAAAAAAGAAGAAUCAGUUCAAACUGAUAAUAGUGCAUUUUUCUAUGCACAAUCAACAAAUCUUGCUUUUGCUUAAUUAAAGCAACAAGUUUCUUAUAUAUAACUCCUUUAAUAUAUAAGAAGGCGACAAAGGAUAGUUACUAAAGUAGCGAACUAGUAAUUAAAUUAGCUAAAAUAUUAUUAACUUUUUGGUCAUUUUUUAUUAAUAAUAUUAUUAAAAUGACAUAAACUGUAGAUGCAUUAUAUGUUUUAUGUGUGGACACGGGUUCGACUCCCGUUAUCUCCGCCA